CUGUUUAUUAACCUAUCUUUAGAUAGCUUUGUCUGGCACUACAUUGGUACACCACUGGUCACGAUGACUUUUUUUUAUCUGCUGGCAGACUGGCACCAAAAAUAACUUGGAACUCAUGGUGGUGAGGUCAAACAUAGCUAGUGUUCGAGGCCAGAUCUAGAAUUAGUUAAUCUUGAUAUCUAGCAAGCUGAUAAAUUUCCAGGCCCAGGGAUUUCUCUCCCUUAGAUCAUUCAACACCAUCUUCCUUCAGGGAUACCAUGUCCCUUUCUUCAAGUGACAAUGACCUCUCCUGUUGAAGAGAAUGGGGCAUUCCCACAGGCAGAAAUAUAUCCAGCUCUGAAGUCAUGAACAGGUCCACCACAGAUGUUUCUGAGUCAGAGGCUGCAAAAGAGAGUACAAGUCAUAUUCAAUGCAAUUUACUGAAGCACCACACCCGGAGACAGCUUGUCAACAUAUUGGCUAGCCAUAUGUCUGAGAUGCAUGGGAGCACUUCUAGGAAGGGGAAAAAGGCACAGGAUAUUUAGCAUGGUGCCUCAAGACCAUGUCCAGGAAUAAAUAUCAAUGACCAGUCAAGGCAGGCACAAUGCUUCAAGCACAAGGACCAAACUGUUGAAGAUCAGCAGCCACAGUGCCUCAGCAGCUUGAUGAGGAUGCCUGCAGGGAGGCUGUAUCAUUUCUUGUUCACUCUCUUGAUGAAGCAAGUGUGUUUCAGAAGAUGAAGAUGGCCUUGCAAUAUCGCCAGGACCUAGUGCAUGACCUGCAGUGGGAGUUUGUAGGUCUGUAAUUGUUGAGUACAUAAUGAUCUUUCUUUUGUUUUGUUUGUUUUGAGAAGAGGUCCCACAAGAGCAUGCUUGAAAAAAGAUUGUACAUAGCCAAUGGCUAGUGAGCAGUUGCUAAUGGAAAGAAAAGUUGGACAAAUAUUUGGUAGACUAUUUGCAGAGUCUGGAUAGGAUAACAUCUAAAUGACAUGAGGAGCAGUUAGGCUGAAAGACAGUCUCCAGCAGCAUCUGGAGAGAGAUCAACUAAAAAUAAGGGAAUAAAACUGUGGGUUUUUAAGUUACAAAUAUGUCUUUGAUUACAAAUAUGUCUUUAAUUACAAAGACAAAGUUACAAAUUGACUUUGAUUUUUUCAAUUUUAGCUAUAAAAAAUGCUGAAAAGUUCUUGCAUGCUCAUGAUGAAUGUUCAGGGAAUUAAUUAUUUUUAGAACCAUUGACAUGUUCAAUAGGUCUGAACAGUAUUCUGGGAUUAUGGUGGCUUUCAGUAAUAAUAUUGAAAAAUAUUUUUUUCUUGCAGUUCUGACGGCAGAGUUGUAAUUGGAAAUUAGAUACAGUCUAUCUCAUGUUACACAAUCCUGCAUUACAGAGAAGUUGCUGUUUGUUGAUUGGUUUGUAAUCUUAUCAGACUUCUGCAUUAUGAACAAGUUUGCUUAUACUGUGUUUGCACUUAAUGGAUUUUCCUCUGAAGAUGUUGUGGAAGCAAUACAAUGCAUAGGGAUGUGGUAUUGACAUUUUUUUUCAAGUUUGCUGAAAUAUGUAAAUCUCCUUAAAAAAAAUUCAGUGUAAUUUUCAUUUGAUCACACACCAUACUGUUUAGCUGCACUUAUAGUGACUUUUAAUGUGAAUGUUUGCUGUUACAUGUUAACACUGUUUACACUGUAAAGACACAAACGUAAUUUGUUACACAAGUAACUAUCCAUGCAGCAUGAAUAUAUUGUGUGGAUGUGUUCUAUAAUAUUAAGACACUUUAGU